CGCCUCUUGCAAACUCGCCUAUAAGAGGUCCCGCCUGCCCUGUGACUAUAAGUUUAACGGCCGCGGUAUUUUGACCGUGCAAAGGUAGCGCAAUCACUUGUCUUUUAAAUGUAGACCUGUAUGAAUGGCAUCACGAGGGCUUGACUGUCUCCUUUCUCCUGUCAAUGAAAUUGAUCUCCCCGUGCAGAAGCGGGGAUAUAACCAUAAGACGAGAAGACCCUAUGGAGCUUUAGGCUUCUAAGCAGAUUAUGUUAAACAACCUAAAAUAAAAGAUAAAACUAAUUAACCCCUGCUUUAAUGCCUUUGGUUGGGGCGACCACGGGGAAAUAAAAAACCCCCACAUGGAUUGAGAGCACAACCACUCCCACAAACUAGAGCCACAACUCUAAGAAACAGAACUUCUGACCAACCACAUGAUCCGGCACUAGCCGAUCAACGGACCCAGUUACCCUAGGGAUAACAGCGCAAUCCCCUUCUAGAGCCCAUAUCGACAAGGGGGUUUACGACCUCGAUGUUGGAUCAGGACAUCCUAUUGGUGUAGCCGCUAUUAAGGGUUCGUUUGUUCAACGAUUAAAGUCCU
rnacentral:rRNA from 1 species